rnacentral:lncRNA from 1 species
CUUUAAAGGCUUCAAAGCACUGGGGUCACCUCACAGUUACUGCUUAUUUUUCUUUUUUUCCCAGUAUAGGGGACUGAACCCAGAGCCUCCACACUGAGCUAUACCCCUGUCCCCACCUUUUUUAUUUUGAGACAGGGUCUUGCUAAGUUACUAAAUUACCCAGGCUAGGCUCAAACUUGAGGUCCUCCUGUGUCAGCCUCCCAGACUGCUGGGAGUAUAUGUGUGCCACCAUGCCCAGCUCAGCUUUAAUUGCUGCUGCUACGUGACCCUCAAAGGCAGGAAGCUGCUGGCCUGGACCUCUCCCUGGGAGUCAGGGCUGUGUAGACAGAGCACUGCACUGCCCACCGUGGGGCCCUCUUGGCCUGGAGCCCAUCUGCCUCAGCCACUCCAGGGGCCAGGGCACCCACGCAGGAGUCCUGGUCGCUUUCCCUUUCAGGGCAGGAUGUAUGGCAGGGACAUGGGUUUUACGGAGCACAAUCCCCUCUAGUUCAUGUGCUCUGUGUGAACAACGCCAGACACCAGAGGGGCUGUGAGGCCACUGCAGGUAGCUAGGGCUGAAAUGACGGAAAUUAAGAUCACUUCCACCUCUCGACAAAUCAUGUAAUGUGGCAAUUCUCCCAGCUGAAAUCCAGGUGGCCUUCACGCUGAGCUCAGUACACGCACACACACACACACACACACACUGUGAAAUUUUGAGACAGAGUCUCAUUAAGUCACCAAAUUGCUCAGGCUGUGCUCAAACUUGCAAUCCUCCUGCCUCAGCCUCCCAGAGGCAUGCACCAUCUCACCAGGCAAGAAGUAUAUUUUCAAAUGUUAGGGUCCACUCUGCUUCCAUUAAAACCUGGAAAGUAUGGGGCCAGGGAUUUGGCUUAGUGUCGGCAAGUCUGUCUCAAAAGCACAAGGUCCAGAGUUCAAUCCCCAAUACCUCCCGGCCAAAAAAACAAAAAAAAACCCCCACAACAAAACCUGGAAAGUAAAAUUACAAUAAAGUCAGAUUUGGAUGCAAAUAAUAUACUUAAACUUUAAAUAUAUCUAUAUAUUACAGUAAAAUCUUGGACUGCGAGUAACGUGCUCCGCAAGUGUUCUGCAAGAUGAGCAAACAUUUUACCUUGAUAAACACAAGAUGUCUUGCAAUACAAUAGCACCUGCUACCGAAUGUCACAUGAUCACAACUGAGCCACUCUUUCCUCUCUCUCUCUCUCUCUCUCUCUCUCUCUGUACUGCGGGAUUGUGAGUGAUCAGCUCCCAACACCAAGAGGUCAUGGUGGAGGAGAUCUCGUCUGCAGAGGAGGAGGAGGAGAAAAAGGCAGAGGAAUCCCUCACUUCGAAUGAGAUCAGGGAGAUGUGUACAAUGUGGGAAACGGUGCAAAACUGUGUAGAAAACACCACCCGAAUAAGGCUGAGCAGUGUGAGCGAUAAAUCUGUCUAAUGACAAUGCAUUGCCACAUUUCCAUGAAAUCCUCAAAAGGAGGCAAAAGCAAGUGUCAUUGGACAGGUACCUCAUGAAAGCUGUACAAAAAGAAAAAGAUUCCACUGAGCCUAUAGCAGUGAUUCCGUUUGUGAUAGUGAAAGCCGCUACACAGUGACCCUCCUCCCUCUUGUCUCCCUCACACCAGCCAUGAAGGUUUUCAAAGGGCUGGGAGUUGAACCCAUGCAAAACACACAUUCUACCACUAAACUACACACUGAGCCCAUGUUGUACCCUAUUACAUUAUAGUACUGUAACAUAAUAUAUUAUCCCAUUGUACUAUACAUUACACCGUGUAAAGAAUAAAUGUAAAUUAUGUACCAAUUAACUGACUGUUAAAAAGUCACCCGGGGAGUGGGCUGAGGCAGGGUGGUGCCUUUCCGAGGGCCCAGCAUCUCCCAUCUGCCCUCACCCUACAGCGUCUGCCUGUCUGGACCUAGCUGUAUCCGGGCCAGGGGUAGGGCCACCCGGCACCGCUCCCCAACCCCCAGUUCCCAGGCCCAGGGUCCCUGCAGUGAGAACGAUGGUGGCCACAGUGGCAGGCG